rnacentral:rRNA from 1 species
GACGGGGGAUGCAAGUGUUAUCCGGAAUAAUUGGGCGUAAAAGCGUCUGUAGGUGGUUUACCAAGUUCUGUUGUUAAAAAUCAGGGCUUAACCCCUGAUCCGGCAACAGAAACUAGUAGGCUGGAGUACGGUAGGGGCAGAGGGAAUUCUCGGGUGUAGGUGGUGAAAUACGUAGAUAUCGAGAAGAACACCAAUAGCGAAAAGCACGUCUGCUGGGCCGAA